rnacentral:lncRNA from 1 species
CAGCUAUGAGAUUCGGACAGCUUUCUCCAAGGAGAAGAAGAACCGUCGCUUUGUAUUCAAGGCUGAACAUCCAGGCAUGCGGACUUACUAUUUCAGUGCAGACACCCAGUUGGAUAUGAAUAGCUGGAUCAGGGCCAUGAACCAGUCAGCUGCUGCUGAGUGCAACUGUGGAAACCUCAACCAAGGGGGUCUCCACAGCCACUCAGUGUCUGCCCACACCAGCUUUGAGGACAUUCGGCUCCCACAGGGUGAUUGUGCCAAAAGCACCGAGUCACUAGAAGUUGCCCAUCUCUCAGAGAUCCAGGAGUCCCGGGCCUCCUCGUCCGAGAGCCUCCACCUGCCUGACAUCCAGACAGGAUCUCCUUGCCUUAAGAGGGCUUCUUUAUCCAGUUCGCUCAACGGGAGCUACUGCCGUGAAAAGAAAGAGCAGCCAGAAUUGAGGUAAGGAGAAGUAAAACCAGCUUCAUUGCUGUGGAUGCUGUAGAGGAGGGAUGUCUAACCUU